rnacentral:rRNA from 1 species
GCACUACUGCUAACGCUGGGUAUUGGAAUCCGUUCUCUCUGCGCAGGAGCAACAACAUCCUUCUCUCGCGUUGUGAUCCUCCUCCUCUUCCUCUUCAUGACACUCGUUGGAAUGCCUUCGUUUUCGGGACAUGCUGACGUCGUGACCUCUCGGGUUUUCAGUUUAGCUUCCCUACACCCUGAUCCAAGAUGCCACUUGUGAAGAUCAAGAGUUACUUAUGCUACACUGUCUUCCAGAUAAGGAGGCAACUGUCACAGAAAGUUGUUCUUACUAAUUGACGCCUUCAACUGCUCAGAACUUGUUCUCGAGCCAGUCAACAGCAAAACUUUCAAACUUUCUUGGUCUUGAAAAAACCCGAACAACUUGAUGCCAACAGAAGGCCAAAGUGGUUGUAUAUAAGGUGUGGGCGUUCAGGCUACUUGGGCCAACAGCCGUGCCGACCCCGGGCGUGACGUCACCAGGGAUAGAGGAAAUGUAAACAACCCCUAUGGCGGACAGCAGAUCGGAGCAGCAAAAAUUUAAUCGAUUUCGGAAAAAUCUCGUUUUUGAUGGUAUAGACGGAUACGAUUGGAUUUGCAAGUGUAGUUUCAUAAAAGGUAAUAACCCUAGAGCUUUUUUGAAAUGCAGGACCCCAAUAUAGUGUCAUUUUAGCAUUGAAAUGCUGAAACAUCAUUUGGACUUGGAUUCGAUGAUGAAAAAGCGCCCCAGAAAUGAAGAUUUGUGGGAAGGUCCAAAACCUGAGAUAAAGAUCAAUCCGUACAGGAUGAACAAGUGGCCCAGAAAUGAUGAUUUGUCCGAAGGUCCGAAACCUGGGAUUGAGAUCAAUCCGUACACGAUGUUGCCCUACACCCAGCGAUAUUAUGACCUCUUAAAGAACCGUAUUCAACUUCCAGUGUGGGAGUGUAAGGACAAGUUCUUGGACAUCUUGCACAAACAUCAGAGCAUUUGUCUUGUGAGUGAGACCAGAUCUGGAAAGACAACCCAGAUUCCCC